rnacentral:rRNA from 1 species
AUUGAACGCUGGCGGCAGGCCUAACACAUGCAAGUCGAACGAGUGGCGGACGGGUGAGUAAUGUCUGGGAAACUGCCUGAUGGAGGGGGAUAACUACUGGAAACGGUAGCUAAUACCGCAUACCAUCAGAUGUGCCCAGAGGGGAUUAGCUAGUUGGUGGGGUAACGGCUCACAAAGGCGACGAUCCCUAGCUGGUCUGAGAGGAUGACCAGCAACACAGGAACUGAGACACGACCCAGACUCCUACGUGAGGCAGCAGUGGGGAAUCUUGGACAAUGGGCGAAAGCCUGAUGCAGCCAUGCCGCGUGUAUGAAGAAGGCGUGCGGGUUGUAAAGUACUUUCAGCGGGGAGGCGUUACCCGCAGAAGAAGCACCGGCUAACGCCGUGCCAGCAGCCGCGGUAAUUC